GUAACACGUAUGCAACCUGCCCCAAACAGGGGGAUAGCCUCUCGAAAGAGAGAUUAAUACCCCAUAAUAAUGUUGUUAGGCAUCUAAUGAUAUUUAAAGCUGAGGCGGUUUGGGAUGGGCAUGCGGUUGAUUAGGUAGUUGGUGAGGUAAUGGCUCACCAAGCCAACGAUCAAUAGGGGGUCUGAGAGGAUGUCCCCCCACACUGGUACUGAGACACGGACCAGACUCCUACGGGAGGCAGCAGUAGGGAAUAUUGGACAAUGGGGGCAACCCUGAUCCAGCCAUGCCGCGUGCAGGAAGACUGCCCUAUGGGUUGUAAGCUGCUUUUGUACGGGAAGAAACCUCACUACGAGUAGUGAGUUGACGGUACCGUGAGAAUAAGGAUCGGCUAACUUCGUGCCAGCAGCCGCGGUAAUACGAAGGAUCCAAGCGUUGUCCGGAUUUACUGGGUUUAAAGGGUGCGUAGGCGGGCUAUUAAGUCGGUGGUGAAAGCCGAUCGCUUAACGAUCGAACUGCCAUUGAAACUGAUAGUCUUGAGUAUGUUUGAGGUUACUGGAAUAUAACAUGUAGCGGUGAAAUGCUUAGAUAUGUUAUAGAACACCAAUUGCGAAGGCGGGUAACUAAGUCAUAACUGACGCUGAGGCA
rnacentral:rRNA from 1 species